rnacentral:lncRNA from 1 species
GCCAUUUUUGUGCCUGCUGUGAAUAUAUAAAUGUUUUUAAGUAAAAUUCAAAAAAGUUACAGUAACUUCUUACGAAAAAAAACUAGUAGGUUAUCUAUUUAACAUAAAUUAAAUAUUUUUUAAAAAAGAAAUAUCCCAUAAAGUACCAACUCUUUAUGGCUUUUCUCUAUUACAUGAACCAAGUACCAGGUUUUAUGGACAUUUUAUUCUGAAUCAUUUAAUUUAUGUUAAGUUCAUAAAUAUUUGCAAAUAAAAUUCAAAAGCCGUUACACAAGUAUUU